AACGAACGCUGGCGGCAGGCCUAACACAUGCAAGUCGAGCGCCCCGCAAGGGGAGCGGCGGACGGGUGAGUACCGCGUGGGAAUAUGCCCUUUGCUACGGAAUAGUCUCGGGAAACUGGGGGUAAUACCGUAUACGCCCUUUGGGGGAAAGAUUUAUCGGCGAAGGAUUAGCCCGCGUUGGAUUAGGUAGUUGGUGGGGUAAUGGCCUACCAAGCCGACGAUCCAUAGCUGGUUUGAGAGGAUGAUCAGCCACACUGGGACUGAGACACGGCCCAGACUCCUACGGGAGGCAGCAGUGGGGAAUCUUAGACAAUGGGGGCAACCCUGAUCUAGCCAUGCCGCGUGAGUGAUGGAGGCCUUAGGGUUGUAAAGCUCUUUCAGCUGGGAAGAUAAUGACGGUACCAGCAGAAGAAGCCCCGGCUAACUCCGUG
rnacentral:rRNA from 1 species